CUCAAGAGCGGCUGGGGUACUUUCUACAUCCGUGAAUAAUUAAAUUACGCCAAUGGAAAUUCGUUUUCCUUCGUAACGAAAGCAUCUCGCAUCCCUUCUAAAAAUACACGGACGAACGGUACCGGAGGAGCGGAACAACUCCAGGCGGUUUUUUUCCCCCACCGAGCAGACGAUGCCGAGGCAACAUAACCCCGAGCGUUUUCCAACUAUAUGCACCCGAUUACCAGGAACAAGACCGGCGUUUCUUGUUUCCACCGCAGAGAGAACGAGCGUGUUCCGGCUCUGACCGAUGAUGACGACGGGGCCAUCUCGCCGGGUAUCUGGGCUCCUCCUCGAUCCCAGAGACGAAGGUAACAGCUAACGCGGGACGGUAACCAGACGCACGACUUCGUCAGCUACUUCUUAGCCCGGUGCAAAUUGCAAUAAUCUCCUCGGUUUCGAGAUAUUGCGAGACGUUCGAGGACUGUUUAUCAGCAUCCACGGACGAUGGCGAACAUGGUCUCGGGAACUUGAUUGCAGGGUAGGAGAUGACCAUUCGAAGAACCCGAAGGGAUGGGAGAGUGAUCUGUUAACCGACGAUGGAAGCCAGACUGUUUUAGACGUUCCACGGACGACCUAUCUUUGGUGACGAUGAACAAAGAAACUCGGGUACCAUUUCGAUCCUUCGUGAGGAUUCCCAUCGAGGGAAGGAAGAAAAUCACUGGACAUGUUGGAUUUCGAGGAAGAGAAAAGUGGACCAAUUUCAGACUUUCGAUGGACGGUUUGUUAUAGAUUAUAAAGACUCUGUUGGAGGAAAUAACUACUCUCCAGUUGGUCCAUGUUGGAGUUCACGAGAGAGGAAACUGAAGCCAUAUAACAUAGAAUAUUAAAUUUCAAACAUUCGACAAGCAGUUUGUUGAAUUUAGAUCUUCCUAGACAAGCUGCUGAUCGUGGAGUACUCGACGUGGAUUUUGUCUAAGAGAACAAGGAACUUAACUAGUGGUCUAACCGUGAGAAAAUUUGAGGAAGGAGAACAACAGAGAUCGCAAGUGUUGAAUCUGGAAAACAACUGGACCGAUUCGAGCCGCGACUUUCGGUCGGAUUGUUCGCGAUAGCCGAUGCGUUGCGGAAGAUACGCUUCGUCACGAUAUCUCAUCGGGAGGCUGAAGAGUAAACAAAAAUGUCGGCCAGGAGAGAUACAUGAAUCGCAACAAAGUAUAAAGCGUGACAGUGAUCGACGCCGGGUGCUUAGUAUCGACCUGCGCCGGCUCGACGUCAAGAAAGUCGCGGGGCUAAAAGAUGCGGGACUUUUCCCAGGCGUGCGGGUAUGUAUUAGAGCGUUUGAUGGAAAGGAUGAACUUAGCUCACGGUUAUUUAACGGGGAAGACAGAUUUCGUGCGAAUGCGGUCUUUGGAGUAGAAAGUGAGCGAUGAGCGAUGCUUCGGGAAGCUAACUUUGACGAAGUAUCCAUUGAGCAAACACCGGUGAUUAUGGCGAUGAAGGGCUGGCCAUCUCGCCUGAUAUUCACUACUACCAUUAGUGUGCUGAAUAAAUUAAUCAUAUCGCAAGUUUAACAAUUCCAAAUACGCGUCUUCGAAUAUCCAGCGACCUAAGUCCUAAGAAUUAAUGCUGGUACAUAAAUUUGUAACAUUACUGACGAAUAUUUUUGGGCUACUCCCUCUUAUUAAUU